ACUAUAGUCGACUCACUUCCAUCUGUGUCAGACGUUGCCUAAUUAACCAUAGUGCUUUUGUCCACAGAAAUUGGACUCCGCUUCAGAAUUCUUCUGAGCACAGCAUCCCAGAGCACCCCUGUACACAGUCUACCACGUAACACAAGAGGCACCAAGUAGAAGUUUUGUUGGAUCUAAUUUCUACAUAAAGAUACAGAAGCUGUGUUCCAGACACCCAACGCAUUAAGGCAAAGUUGUGAGGCACAUCUUAUGAGAAGAUAACUGCUCUUCCAGCUCACAGAAUAGAAAGAACAAAAUAUCUGAAUCCAAAAAGAAAAUAUAACUGGGAAUUUUAGUGCU
rnacentral:lncRNA from 1 species